CAGUAGCCGCGGGAAUACAGAGGGUGCGAGCGUUAAUCGGAUUUACUGGGCGUAAAGCGUGCGUAGGCGGCUUCUUAAGUCGGAUGUGAAAUCCCUGAGCUUAACUUAGGAAUUGCAUUCGAUACUGGGAAGCUAGAGUAUGGGAGAGGAUGGUAGAAUUCCAGGUGUAGCGGUGAAAUGCGUAGAGAUCUGGAGGAAUACCGAUGGCGAAGGCAGCCAUCUGGCCUAAUACUGACGCUGAGGUACGAAAGCAUGGGGAGCAAACAGGAUUAAAUACCCCGGUAGUCCCUGUCUCUUAUAC
rnacentral:rRNA from 1 species